ensembl:lincRNA
GAACGUUUCACCCUGCAGGACAACGAGCCAGAGCCUUGCAUACCAGGGGCAGGCAUUAGACCACACCCGCUUUGACUGUUAGACUCAUCUGCAGUGUUUGUGCCACUAGUGAGAUGCGCCUAAUGGGGGACUUCAUCCCCCACCUCACCCUGGUGUAAGUAGUUUACUGGAUGGGAAUUUGGGCUCCUAGAAGUCUUCAUCUUACUAUUUAUGUACCACCUCUGAAUUGAACAGGUGUUAUAAAAGGGUAAACUGAGGCUAAAAGCUACCUCAAGAAGAUGCCUGGAGCAGGGUUCAAGAUCAAUCUUGCUUUUAGUCUCAGCCAUAAACCAUCUGAGCUUUGGGUAAGUCACUUGACCACCAGGCCGGUUUCCUCAUUAUGACAGAAUGGAAUUCUGAAUUCCCUUUCUGUUGUAAUAGUCUGAUUGCACAAUUUUCCCUUAGAGAAGUUUCAUACCUGUUAGAUCUCCUGCUGCCAGGAGCUAACCUCCUGGGAGACAGGUCUUAUCGUCAUCCAGGCAUAUAGGAGGGUGUUGGGAAAACACUUGUAGUGGAUGCUGGAUUGUGCCAUUCAGAGCCAGCUCCCUUUGCUAUUGAAGAACUUAUUUCCCUACAUGUCAAGACUUCUGCUGGCUGAUGGCCCCCAGCUGUGAGCUCUUUCAGGCAUCACCUUUGGCUGCAAAAGGCUCCCUCUCCCGAAGUUACUACCUGCAUCCCUGGAGGCAGACUUCAUCUCAUGUCUUCAUCCAAAGUUUGAACAAAUUGGCUAAGAAGGUGCUAGACAUGUAAAGGGACUAUUUUUUUUCUUAAUUCAAAUGUAGGAGGAGUAUGGAUCUCCAGGAACCAGAAGAGCUGCAUACAUAUAGAUUUGCUGGGUUUUCAUAUUCCAAGAAAGACUCUGGCAUUUCAAUACAGAAACAAAGCUCCAAAUUUGGAAGCAGCAGUGAAACUCCACAGCAGUGAAAAGAAAGAAAAAAAGACUAAGCCAGGAAACCUCUUGAAGGCCCAGAGAAGUAGGCACGUAUAUAAGAUGCCCAGACUGGAGCUGCCACAUAGGAGACACUUGGUGAGCUCUCAAGGGAGAUUGGAUGUCUAUGGAGAAUCCACGUACCUAUAUCAUAUUAGUUGGAGCAAAACACAGACUCUGGGAUGA